CCUACGGGAGGCAGCAGUGAGGAAUAUUGGUCAAUGGACGCAAGCCUGAACCAGCCAUGCCGCGUGAAGGAAGACGGCCCUAUGAGUUGUAAACUUCUUUUGUACGAGGGUAAACGCAGAUACGCGUAUCUUUCUGAAAGUAUCGUACGAAUAAGGAUCGGCUAACUCCGUGCCAGCAGCCGCGGUAAUACGGAGGAUUCAAGCGUUAUCCGGAUUUAUUGGGUUUAAAGGGUGCGUAGGCGGUUGGAUAAGUUAGAGGUGAAAUUCCGAGGCUCAACCUUGGAAUUGCAACUGAUACUGGUCGGCUAGAGAGUAGUUGAGGUAGGCGGAAUGUGUGGUGUAGCGGUGAAAUGCUUAGAGAUCAUGCAGAACACCGAUUGCGAAGGCAGCUUACCAAGCUGCUUCUGACGUUGAGGCACGAAAGUGUGGGGAUCAAACAGGAUUAGAUACCCCGGUAGUC
rnacentral:rRNA from 1 species